UAUCUCUGUAGAGUCUGCAUAUCAAUAAGCGGAGGAAAAGAAACUAACUAGGAUUCCCUCAGUAACGGCGAGUGAAGCGGGAAGAGCUCAAAUUUGAAAUCUUCAAGGUUCUACCUUGACGAAUUGUAGUUUAAAGAAGUGUUUUCUGUUGGAGUUUUGGUAAAAGUUCUUUGGAAUAGGACAUCAUAGAGGGUGAGAAUCCCGUAUUUGACCAUUAUUUCCAGCUUUGUGAUACACUUUCAAAGAGUCGGAUUGUUUGGGAAUGCAGUCCAAAAUGGGUGGUAAAUUUCAUCUAAAGCUAAAUACUGGCGAGAGGCCGAUAGCGAACAAGUACCGUGAGGGAAAGAUGAAAAGAACUUUGAAAAGAGAGUUAAACAGUACGUGAAAUUGUCAAAAGGGAAGCGUUUGACACCAGUGUUGUUUUCUCGAAAAUCAAUUAAAAAAGGCAGGAUUUUGUGUUGUAUUGACUUUAUCAGCUUUCUGCACUCUUUUCUUGUCUUUUUUUAAUGCACUUUUCGUUUAACAAGUCAACAUCAAUUUCUUUUGUUGUAAAAGAGUCAUUGGAAGGUGGCUUUCACUUCGGUGAAAGUGUUUAUAGCCUUUGGCUUCUGCAAUCGGAGAGAUUGAGGUCUGCAGCGUAGAUCCUUCGGGGCUAGAUACAUUUGUGCUAAGUUAUAGCCUUUCAUAGACAACUUGUUGACUAUGAUCAGUCAUGUAGCUUACUCGCUUAUGCUAUUUUACCUACGCUUAGGAUGUUGAAAUGUAGCACAUCAU
rnacentral:rRNA from 1 species